rnacentral:rRNA from 1 species
AGCAGCCGCCACGGUAAAACGGAGGGAGCUAGCGUUAUUCGGAAUUACUGGGCGUAAAGCGCACGUAGGCGGCUUUGUAAGUAAGAGGUGAAAGCCCGGGGCUCAACCCCGGAUGUGCCUUUGAGACUGCAGAGCUAGAGUAUGGCAGAGGGGGGUAGAAUUCCACGUGUAGCAGUGAAACGCGUAGAGAUGUGGAGGAAUACCGAUGGCGAAGGCGGCCCCCUGGGCCAAUACUGACGCUCAUGCACGAAAGCGUGGGGAGCAAACAGGAUUAGAUACCCGCGUAGUCCCUGUCUCUUAUAC